rnacentral:rRNA from 1 species
GGACUCGAGGUAACUCCCAACCCCUGUGACAUACCACUUGUUGCCUCGGCGGAUCAGCCCGCUCCCGGUAAAACGGGACGGCCCGCCAGAGGACCCCUAAACUCUGUUUCUAUAUGUAACUUCUGAGUAAAACCAUAAAUAAAUCAAAACUUUCAACAACGGAUCUCUUGGUUCUGGCAUCGAUGAAGAACGCAGCAAAAUGCGAUAAGUAAUGUGAAUUGCAGAAUUCAGUGAAUCAUCGAAUCUUUGAACGCACAUUGCGCCCGCCAGUAUUCUGGCGGGCAUGCCUGUUCGAGCGUCAUUUCAACCCUCAAGCACAGCUUGGUGUUGGGACUCGCGUUAAUUCGCGUUCCUCAAAUUGAUUGGCGGUCACGUCGAGCUUCCAUAGCGUAGUAGUAAAACCCUCGUUACUGGUAAUCGUCGCGGCCACGCCGUUAAACCCCAACUUCUGAAUGUUGACCUCGGAUCAGGUAGGAAUACCCGCUGAACUUAAGCAUAUCAAUAAGGCGGAGGA